GAGAUGCAAUGAGGAUAAGAAAUCAGCUUUUAACGCCAGUUCUGCUUCUGAAUAUCAUUGAUUGAAAGAGCUGUUUAUUUUUCUGAGCAUCAU
rnacentral:snoRNA from 1 species